rnacentral:rRNA from 1 species
UACACACCGCCCGUCACACCAUGGGAGUUGGCUUUACCCGAAGGUGCUGCGCUAACCGCAAGAGGCAGGCAACCACGGUAGGGUCAGCGACUGGGGUG